rnacentral:rRNA from 1 species
ACAUGCAAGUCGAGCGGACAGAUGGGAGCUUGCUCCCUGAUGUUAGCGGCGGACGGGUGAGUAACACGUGGGUAACCUGCCUGUAAGACUGGGAUAACUCCGGGAAACCGGGGCUAAUACCGGAUGGUUGUUUGAACCGCAUGGUUCAAACAUAAAAGGUGGCUUCGGCUACCACUUACAGAUGGACCCGCGGCGCAUUAGCUAGUUGGUGAGGUAACGGCUCACCAAGGCAACGAUGCGUAGCCGACCUGAGAGGGUGAUCGGCCACACUGGGACUGAGACACGGCCCAGACUCCUACGGGAGGCAGCAGUAGGGAAUCUUCCGCAAUGGACGAAAGUCUGACGGAGCAACGCCGCGUGAGUGAUGAAGGUUUUCGGAUCGUAAAGCUCUGUUGUUAGGGAAGAACAAGUACCGUUCGAAUAGGGCGGUACCUUGACGGUACCUAACCAGAAAGCCACGGCUAACUACGUGCCAGCAGCCGCGGUAAUACGUAGGUGGCAAGCGUUGUCCGGAAUUAUUGGGCGUAAAGGGCUCGCAGGCGGUUUCUUAAGUCUGAUGUGAAAGCCCCCGGCUCAACCGGGGAGGGUCAUUGGAAACUGGGGAACUUGAGUGCAGAAGAGGAGAGUGGAAUUCCACGUGUAGCGGUGAAAUGCGUAGAGAUGUGGAGGAACACCAGUGGCGAAGGCGACUCUCUGGUCUGUAACUGACGCUGAGGAGCGAAAGCGUGGGGAGCGAACAGGAUUAGAUACCCUGGUAGUCCACGCCGUAAACGAUGAGUGCUAAGUGUUAGGGGGUUUCCGCCCCUUAGUGCUGCAGCUAACGCAUUAAGCACUCCGCCU